rnacentral:rRNA from 1 species
AUACGUAGGUGACAAGCGUUAUCCGGAUUUACUGGGUGUAAAGGGCGUGUAGGCGGUUUAGCAAGUCAGAAGUGAAAUUCCCGGGCUUAACUUGGGCGCUGCUUCUGAAACUGCUUUACUUGAGUGCUGGAGAGGAUAGUGGAAUUCCUAGUGUAGCGGUAAAAUGCGCAGAUAUUAGGAGGAACACCGGUGGCGAAGGCGGCUAUCUGGACAGUAACUGACGCUGAGGCGCGAAAGCACGGGGAGCAAACAGGAUUAGAUACCCUGGUAGUCCGUGCCGUAAACGAUGAAUACUAGGUGUAGGGGGUAUCGACUCCCUCUGUGCCGCAGUUAACACAUUAAGUAUUCCACCUGGGGAGUACGGCCGCAAGGUUGAAACUCAAAGGAAUUGACGGGU